rnacentral:lncRNA from 1 species
AAAAGCCAACUCCCAAAUAUGCCAAGGGGAGCCUCUCAAAUGCCAAGUUUACUAAAAUGGCAAACCCGUUUGCAAAACCGUUGGAGGAGUAAUUUUUACUUUUUUGUCAAAUAACACAAAUGCCAAACUAGAAUGGCAAACCGUUGGAGAUGCUCUUAGAAUGCGCAUAUUAUCUCUUAAUUAACCAACACAACCUGUUCGCUUGGCUGAAAAGACAUGUUGUAAGAGAAAAGCACUAUUAAAUGGCUGACAGAUUCGGUAGAUAAGCUCAAGCGAACAUGCAGGAACAGGACGGUGAGUCUGUGCUAGAGAAGUUGUGUCAGUUGUGGUGGUGAUUAGAGAUGGGUUGAUUAGCAACGGAGAAAAGAUAAGGAGUUGCUAUAUUUCAAGUGUGUGAACUUUGAGAUGAUUCCAGACAAUGAUGAUAUACAACUAAUUAGUGCAAUUUAAAACUUUUGCAAAAAAUAGUACAAGACAACUUACAUGUGACAAUUUAUAACUUUUUUAUAGUCAAUGACAAAUUUGCCGAUUAGUUGAACACCAACAAAAAUCAGGCUAGAAUAUAGGAUAAGUGGUGGAGAUAGGUGAAGGCGGGGCUGAGAAUUGGUAAGAUUUUCAUGUCAAACUAGUGGCCAAGAAAGACCAGGAUGUUAAAAAUCACUUAUGGUUAGAUCUCAAUUAAGAGGCAAGUUUCUUUUUACGAGAAUUACUAUACAUUUAUCUGUCAAUAGAUUUUUACUUGAAAAUCUAUCAGAUUUUUAAUUGUUUGGUCGUGCAAUCUAUAGUUUACAUCUCCUUCAUUUGUCAGAAAACUGAAGCAUAGCAUCUUCAUUUGUCAGGGACACUGUAUGUCAUUAUGUGGUGCUCUGUUGGCUGCAUUGCAACUGACAAGGAUCCUUUUCUUCUGAAAGUAGUGAUGCUGAACUCAACUACCAGUGUAGAACAAAAAGGGCUGGGACUAUCAAUAUGGGAUGGAAUGAUUGAACUCUAGCAAAGCAUUCUGAUGACGGUCAGAUUAGCCGUAUAAUAAGUAGAGCACUGUCAGUAAUGAUCAUAUAUAAUAACGAAAUAUAAGGUGGUCAAAUGAGGCUAAAGCGGUGAUGAGAGAGGGCUACUUGUUGGAGAAGGUACGUUGGGGGAGAAUGAUGCACAAGCAUAUGCAGACAUAGCAUGUAAAAGCAUGCUCAAGGGUCGGAUUGGAAGGUUAUUUAACUUGGGAGUUGCUAUUGUAGCCAUGCUGCUUUAGCUCCUGUCCUCCCAAUGUGCUGCCCUCCAGCGGCCACUUCACCGAGACGCCACGUUCUCUGAUACUGAUAUUUUUCUCUUGCAUUGUCCCUUGCUUUACCUCCUCAAUACAAUCUUUUGUUUCUUUUUUAAUCUUGAUGCAUCAUUGUUCUCGACUCAUCAAUUUCCGAGGAGUUGAUUCUGGUUAGAUAUUAGCACUCCGUCGUCCUGAAAUAUGGUUGUCAGUUGUCACAAAGAAUUGAACUUCAGUCACUAGUCAAUUGACAUAUGAUCCAAUAUAAUCCAUAUUCCAGUUUCAAACUUUCAGUCACUUGAGUUUACGAACCUUCAGUUCAGGGUACGCCCUAGCUAUAUAUUUCGUCUGAAAUGAACAACCAAGGCGCCUUGCUUAUUUCCGAGUCAAUUAGACUCAAUUGCGUUGCUUUAUUAUGUGCUCGUUCUCUAAAAGUUCCUUUGAAGUGUGAUAUCGAUGCGUGUGCACCUGACCCCUUGAGAUUGAUGAAGGGGCAGCGUGACCAUUAGAAACUAUUUUUAAUACAAAUCUAAUAUUAUGCUUUAUACUAUAUAAAAUUUCAUAUGAUGGCUAAUUGUUAUAUAAAGAUAUAACAAAAUUUCAGUUUUGAAGUAUGUGCAUGUCUUGUACUCAUUUAGGACAGCGACACGGUCUUCAAAACACAACUUUGACCUUUUAUUUUUAUAAAAAUUUAGGAACAAACGAUAUAUAUAUACUUUUAUGAAAGUAUUUUUCAAGAUAAAUCUAUUCAUAUAAUUUUCACAUUUGCAAACUCAACAAUUUAAAAUUUAUUAAUGAUUUAUAUUCCCAAUGUUUGACUCAAACCUUGUCCAAAACGAUUUCUAAAUCCUAUACGGAGAGAAUAUUGUGGAACGGAGGAAAUACUCCACUAUUGAAUACUGAGCAUCUCCAAGGGUUUUGCAUUUGAGGUUUGUAUUUGAGUAAUUUGCCAAAAACUCCAAAAGAGGUAUCCAACAGUUGAAGCUUGUAAUUUGGGCAACUUGGCAAAUGAGGGAGCAAACUUGGCAAAAAUGCCAAGCUGUGGACGGCUUUGCAAACCCGAUCGCACGAGCGAAAGUCACACGCGAGGAAAGCGCACGCGCCUGGAGACCUCCUAUUUUUAUCCUUUGCCAAGUCCAAAUACCAAUUCCCUUGGAGAUGUUCUAUUUUUUAUCCUUUGCAUUUUGUUAUGGGAGUUUGCAAACAACAACAAAUGCCAAGUCAAUUUGCCAAAGCCUUUGGAGAUGGUUAUAUAAUAUGCAUACAGAAGGAGUAGAAAGAGUAAUAGGAAGACUAGCGGAUUGACAGCACAAAAGUAACUACCUUGUGAUCAAAUCUAACUAUACCUAGGUUCAAACAGGGGCGGAUCCAAUGUGAGUGUUGUGGGGGCUCUGGCCCCCUAACCCCAUUUGCUCAUGGAGCCUCCCUAACCUCUAACCCCUGCACCCCUAAUUUUGUAGCCAUGGAUGAAGAGGAGGAAAGAGAAAUGGGGAGAAAGAAGAUAAAGAGCUAGGAGAGGAAAGAAGAAGAAGGGAAGCCGAGCCCCCUUCCAUAAGUCCUUGCAUCCACCCCUAGGUUCAAGUUAUAGCUUUGGCAUAUGUGCUCAUGUUUAGAUAUAUGAUGCAACCAGGUACAUGAACAAAAUAGUCGAAUAAAGUGUUUGGUUUUAUUUUACUUAAUAGUGUGCCGAUCGAGUUGGGUGUUUCGUUCAACAUGCUUCAGUCGUUUCCUUUUUUCAGUUUGGGGUGGUUUUUGAUUUCCUUUCUUAUUUUAGGGUUUUGACUAAGCUGAGUUUGUAAUCCUCUCUUUUUCUCUUUCUUUGUUUAACAAAAUCACGGCAAAUCUUUUGCCACUCUUUCAGAAAAAAAAAUAGUGGUGCCCGUAGGUGUGCAGAAAGUUUGAGAACCCAAUAUAGUUUAUAUAAGUCUGCCCAUCUAGAAAUCUUGGUCGUUCCUGCAGUGUGGCUGCUUUACAGUCAAUGGUAAUAUUUGACCGGUCCAAGACUCAAAUACGAUCCAUCGACCUCACUGUGUCGGCCAUGAUUUGAUUGGUUAAUAAGACUCCGUUUGGUACAGUUCAGCUUCAGCAAUGAAGUUGGUUUUUAGAGAAAAAAAAGCUUUAUGGAUAACAUUCUAAGUAAAGCUGAGCUGUUUUGAAAAAGUUGUUUCAUAAAAUAGCUUCACCAGUAGCUUCAUACAUGAAUGAAAGAAAAAAUGAGAGAGAGAGAGAGCGCUAGGAUAAGCUCUUUUUUCAGUUUUAUCUCAACUUAUAUCUUCAUGAGAAGGAGAAGAAAAAAAGCUUCACCAAUAAAACUGUUUUGAAAAAGAGUGUUUGGCAAAAAAAAACAUAAAGUUGUUGUAAACUGCUGAAACAACAAAGAAAGAUCGUGGCUCCCUUUCGUCGUCAUAUGUUGACAGACACACUUCAUUUUUCGAGGUACCUUUGAGAGUUAGAGUAUCUGCAACAUUGAUGUAGAUGCACGUAUACGUAUGGACACACUACGUACGCACGUGCAAUCGUAUAUACGCAGUUACGCACGUGCGUGCAAGGAAGGAAGUUUCCUGGUCAUUCGGCAUUCCAUGAUUAGACAGGAGGAUCAACGCCUAUUUUUGGACUGACAGUUGGCUGUACAUUUGGUGGUUCAUCGAUCCAAUACCUUGUGCUAUGCUCAUUUAAUGCAGUGCCGAAAAGAUUUUAGGUAAAAAUAAUAUUCGCUAAUUUAUCAUGAAAAAAAAUAUUGUUAGCUUAGAGAAAAAAUACGAUUUAUAACACAAGCGAACAAGCUUGAAGACCCUAAGGGAUGGCUCAUGGCUGACCUAGUUAAGUAACAGGAGGCGUGGGUGAAGAUAUAUAAAUAUAUAUCUGGUCCAUAUAUAUCGUGUUCGAUAUGGAAACUACUGGGGGUAAGGUGGACAGGUCUGCCGAUGCUAUUCUUGAAGACUGUCAGAAUGCUGCGGCGUUGGAUACACUGUUCAAGCAGGAGAUGGAAGUGCAAGUGGAGGAUUUUGCAAGACAUUUGGAGAUUCACGCAAGCUCUCCACCUCAACUACAAUGGAAGACGGGCGUGGCGAUAUCAUCAUCAGAGUUGGUACCAUCGGUUGCUCAGCCUUUGGAUACAAAUGUGCAUUUAGCGUAGAACGAAGUUGUUCUUUGUGGGAGAUGUAAUGCUGCAAGUAGUUCUUUCGUGUCUCUGGAUGGCCAUAGGGCCUGAAUUUAUUGGCAAUAAGCCAAAACUAUGUUGUGAACCGAAUUUGCUUUUUGAGAUAUAAAAGCAGGGGAAACUUUAUGUAACAAUUUUCAAAAAAUAAAUAUAUAUCUGGUGCGAUCACCGUGCAAAAAGUCAUGCUUCAUUAUUUGGAGGGAUACUUGCCUACUCAGUGAACAGGGCGUCGAGACUAAUGGUAACUUGCUUUGUUGCUCGUGUGUUUUGGUGUGGUGGCGUGCUCUUCUUCAUCCUUUGGGGCUCCAACAGGUCACCACCGCCGACGAUGGUUUCGUUCUCCUUGCCUAAUAAAUCAUUUAGAAGGGGCUUUGUGUAGUUGUGUUUAUUGGUUCAUUGGAUGAGUUACCACUGAUGCCUUGAUGUCGACGCCACUGAUGCCUUGAUGUCGACGGAGAUAUCGUCUAUCACUAAAAAUAUAAUGUUGUUAAAUCCUAAAAUAAAUCCAUGAAAAAUACGAACACCCAUAGCAAGUCGAGAACUUAAACCCGGAUAGAAAUGUUCCAUCACAAAGAACUCAAGAUCUAUUGAAUGUUGCGGAAGGAGCGCACUUUCAACCGCCAAGGUAGCCCUGCCUUGUCAUUGUCAAGUGACCUGGUGCGGGUCAGGAUCCAGCAAUCAUGCUGAGCAAUAUAGUUCAAACUCCGGCGAGCUUAACUGCUGUCCCUGCGUCUUCAUUCAGACCCUUCCAUUUCUCUUUGGUCGUCUUGCGUGGUCGCAAAACGAUCAUCCAUUGAUGUGGGCAUGUGUAGCACUGUCCCGUUUGUUUUUGGUUAAGCUCAGACUUACCUAGACCCAAACUUGAUGAAAAUGUGCUUUUGUUUGUUGCAAAAAAAAAAAAGAGAACAGUAGUACAUUUUAGAGAUUAACUAUUUUGAUUGGAUUGAAGACUUCCUUGUUCCAGUGCAAGGCCCAAUUUUGUUUCCUUAGAGCUGCAUUUGCAGAGAAGUCCAGCAAUUAAUUGGGCCAAGAGAGGAGGCCGGCCUACUGGACCCUGCCGCGCAGAGCUGCAGCUGCUUAUUCAAAAUCAACUGGAUCACAGGAUGUACCAUCUUAUCUUAUGUUACUGAUUAUGAUUUUGAGGACACAACAGAGAUUCCUUGUUAUUUUUUACAGGACGUUCUAUGAAAAAUAUAUAUAAAUCCUAGAUCACAAUAAUCAGAAACAUUGGUAUCCUUGUGGCCACCAUCAUCACCUCCAUGAGUGCCAUCCUUGCUCAACUUUGGUGUGGACAAAUGGACAUAACCUAUCUCAAUCACAACACUUAGAGUAGAAGUUAGUCUAAUAGUUAUCUCAAUUACCAAAACCAAAUAUAUGGCUUUCAACUACACAAUGUCUAAUUGUAGUUACCAAAUAAACUCCAACUAUCUUCCCCUCUAUCUCCUCCAAACCUCUUUUUCCCCCUCUAUGUUGUCUUGGUAUCUAUGAUAUCCGUUUCAAUAGAUUUUAUUUAGUUGUUUAUGCAGACCAUAGUUUCUUGCAUCAAAGCUUGGCCCUAUUUGUUUCAUCUUUUAUCUAGCUUCCGCCAACAAAAAAGCCAGAAAUUGAAACAACCAACCCAAUUGUUGACCUAGCCUUUUAAAAGUACAAAGUAUUUAUAUUUUCUAAAACCAUUCAAAACUGAAAAUGAUCAUGUUGGAUUGCAUUUAUAUUUUCUAAAACCAUUCAAAACUGAAACUGAAACUGAAAACCAUUCUAAAACCAUGUUUUCAGCUUUUAAAUCAUUCAAAGCAUUUAUGUUGGAUUGCAUUUAUAUUUUUAGUUUAAUAUCAUUUUCAGCUUCUAAAGGAAUGAUCUAAAAGAUGAAAAUCUUGUUUUGAAUGGUUUGAGAAACAACAAUAUGAAUACAAUAAUGCACUGAAGGAGUCAUUUUCUACACAUCUAUUUAGUGGUUUCUGGUGUCAUGGUAGUUAUAGAUAGCCAUGCAGCCUGCGCCCCGAUAGCCCGGCCCAAAGCACUUUUUUUUUGCCUGACUCAAAGCUACUCGGCCCAAGCAUAGCAUGGCCUGGUGUAAUAUGGGUCUAAGCCGCUCUUAAUGCAGUUGGGUAGCACAACACGGGCUGCUAAAAUACUCUAAGACCGACGUGGCCCGCUAAAAUACUUCUCCCCUCCUCGAUUCCUGCUAGGCGCGGGUUCUCUUCUUCCCCGGCCCCAACCGUGAGACCAGGGUCGCAUCUUGGCCUUGAUUAGCGUCAUCUCCUCUCCUUCUUCAUCCCACCAGGCACCGACUCCUCUAUGCUCUUUCCCAGUUCUAUCGGUCGCCGCACCACCACCUGGUAAACGGGCCUAAAAGGCUAACAUAACCUGCAGAGUAGGUUGUGCUUAUCGGGUUGGCAGCUUGGCAAGCCCCCCCUAAAAAUAGCCCACAAUGUCAUGCUUGGGCUGUUGCUUAGGCCCGUGGCCCUAUUGCCUGGCCUUCCUCCAGCGCCAUGCAUUGGCCGAGUACAUGGUGUGCGGAAAAAAGUGGGUAUGGGACUCGCGUAAGCGGUACCGUACGUGGUUAUUCAAUGAACCCACGACAUGUAAGGGGGUGUUUGGUUUGGGGGUUAAAGUUUAACAGAUAGGUUAGCAUUUUCGUCUUAUUUGGUAAUUAGUGUCUAAUCAUGGACUAAUUAGCCUUAAAAAAUUUGUCUCGCAAAUUACUCUCUAGCUAUGUUUUUAGUUUUAUAAAUAGUCUAUAUUUAGUACUUUAUACAUGUGUAUAAAUAUUUGAUGCUUGACUAACAAAACAGAGCCUAAAUCUUCAGUUGCGAGACUGCCGAGCUAAUUUUUCCAAGACUGCCACACGUCGUCAUCUGUGUGUGCAGCGCCCAGUGCCGCGUAUGGGAAUCCCGUACAUAUUUUUUCCCUGUCGUGCCAUACUGGGUGCCCGAAUGGGCCAUCUAUAAUAUAACCAUGUAAUACACUGUGGGUUAAUUAGCUUUAGGUCACACUUUAAUUUGUGGAGGUACCUAACCAACUACGGUACGGUUAGAUUGACACUGCACGCUGCGAGUAGGUAGCCUCGCUUGCAUGCCUAACAUCAAUAUAAUGCUUGAUCCACGUAUAUCUUGUAUCUGAAAACAGCUGACACGUCUCCAUGAACUGUGAGCCCUUAGACCUGCAUGCAAAUUUACCUAGCUGUGAAACGCGUGUCACCAACAGGAUAUGGACCGCAGGACAAUGCGUGCCUCCAAUUUUACAUGACAGCGACGUAACACAAACGUAAUUACUCGUUUUUUAAGAGCCAGGUGUCCGAUCCUUUGCCUUCCGCCUCUGAUCUUUUGAUCCAAUCCAACAAGUAGACAAUACUAUUUUAUAUAUUGGCUGCUGCCUGCUGGUGGACGCGGAAAUGCGCAGGAGCCAGCGCGUACCCCAGCGCGUACCUAGUAAAUAAUAAUAUACAACCACAAUGGUAUAUUUUAGGUAUGACAUUGCAAACCACACACAGUAAGUGACCGGGUGGUAAUGGUAAAAAAAAAAACACGUACACGCGUCCAACGACAGUUUGGCCGGCCUGGCUAUAAAUUUCCUUGCCCUUGCCAGCCAUUUGUGCUCACACACAGAUCCAGCAGCAUGCAGUGAAACACAUUAUAAUCAUAUACUCCAUAGCUACAAACCUACAAGGAGGACUCGAUCGAUCAUCGUUCGACAGAGUGAGCUAGCUAGCUAGCAUACUGCUAUAGCUAGCUAGGAUGAGGAUGCGGUGCACACUGGCGGUAUGGCUGUAUCUUGUCGUCAUGGCUGCGGCGGCGGCCGCCGGCGACGACAAGCCAGAGCCGAGGCCAGUGAUCACUCCAAAGCCAAAGCCAAAGCCAAAGCCACAGCCACAGCCACAGCCUGACCAGCCGAAACCAACGCCUGAUCAGCCCUACAAACCCAAACCACAGCCAGAGCCAGGGCACCCGAAGCCCACACCUCAGCCCAACCCAACUCCAGAACCCACUAAACCAAAGCCCAUGCCGCAGCCCGAGCCGAAACCGAAGCCACAACCGCAGCCCAAGCCGGAGCCUCAGCCGGGCCCGGGCAAACCCAAGCCGAAGCCCCCAGCAUACUCGCCGGGCACGCCCGGUCCUUGAUGGUGGGUGUUGUAUAUAUAAAAAAGCAAGCUGAAAGAGCUUAUAGUAUAAAUAAGCGGCUGGUGGCAUGCUGGUUUAUUUCUAGCCUGUCCGCUUGUCUGAAAAGGUCGGCUUUGCUCGGCUAACUGCUGCGGUUUGUGUUAUGUGUUUGUUGUUAACUAUGCACACGUGCGCGUGCUCGUGCGUUGCGUGCGUCAUGACACUACUGCAUGCGCACGUAGUGUAUCAGUGCAUGUCAUGUUCCAUCACACUACUGUGUAGUACGUGUGAAGAGUGUAUGUGUGAGUUGUUUGCUUCUUGUGCCUCUACUUAUAUACUAUCUAAAGGCCACUGCUUGUUGUACGUGUUGUGCGGUCGGAUUACCUCUGUAUCCAUGAAUAAAAAGAGAGUACGUGUGCAUGUAUGAUUAUUGUGCGUGUUGGCUUAAUGACGAUCAUGGUGUUUGGUUUGGAGAGUGGUCGUCACAUCCAGAAUCGAUCGUUUGGUUUAAUGACUAUAGGGUAUACCCGGUAUGCACUGGCAUACCUGCAGUUCAGCCAAAUACAAUACAUGUAUACAUCCAAUGAUCUCUUAAAAUAUA